AUUUGGUGGUGAGGGCAUCUAGCACAUAACCUCUUAAACCACUCCCAAUACUCAUAUAAUGACUCCCUAGUCUAUUGGUGAAUGCCACAAAUUUCCUUCCUUAUGCU